UCCAGACUCCUACGGGAGGCAGCAGUGAGGAAUAUUGGUCAAUGGCCGCAGGGCUGAACCAGCCAAGUCGCGUGAGGGAUGACGGUCCUAUGGAUUGUAAACCUCUUUUGUCAGGGAGCAAAGGGCGCCACGUGUGGCGUUUUGCGAGUACCUGAAGAAAAAGCAUCGGCUAACUCCGUGCCAGCAGCCGCGGUAAUACGGAGGAUGCGAGCGUUAUCCGGAUUUAUUGGGUUUAAAGGGUGCGCAGGCGGAAUGUCAAGUCAGCGGUAAAAUUUCGGGGCUCAACCCCGUCGUGCCGUUGAAACUGCAUCCCUUGAGUGCGCGAGAAGUAUGCGGAAUGCGUGGUGUAGCGGUGAAAUGCAUAGAUAUCACGCAGAACUCCGAUUGCGAAGGCAGCAUACCGGCGCGCAACUGACGCUCAUGCACGAAAGCGUGGGUAUCGAACAGGAUUAGAUACCCUCGUAGG
rnacentral:rRNA from 1 species